rfam:Spinacia oleracea cultivar SynViroflay scaffold54039.con0063.1, whole genome shotgun sequence.
CGGCGCCUGAUCACGCCGUAGUCUGAUUGCUGGCUCGUCCCCCGCCGCAUCAGACCGGACAAAGGCCUUUCCCCCUCUCCGGGCCUUUGUCCUCCAAUAUGACCGCCAUGGCCGAUCCCUCCCGGCCAUGGCGGUUUUAC